GCCUGUCCUUCUCAAUUUUGGAUUUCAACUCAUCAAUCAUUGUCCUGAUCUCAGACGCCACACUAGAUAUCGUCUCCUCGUUCUUCUUUUGACCAUCCUUUUCCGCUUUCUCUCUGAUCUGUUGCAGCGCCGACAUUAUCCCCUUGAUAUCACUGGAGAGAUCGACAUCGAAGUCGUCAUCGACUCGGAAUUUGGAGUCAGAUUUGGUGAGUACUGACUCGGCGGCUCGUUUCUUGGAGCUUGUUUUCGAAGUAGACAUUGUUAGUGUGACUAUUGCAGGAAUUGAAAUGAGAUUGAAAGAUUGAUUUUCUGUCAGUUUUG
rnacentral:misc_RNA from 1 species